rnacentral:rRNA from 1 species
GAUGAACGCUGGCGGCGUGCCUAAUACAUGCAAGUCGAGCGAACGGACUAGAAGCUUGCUUCUCUGAUGUUAGCGGCGGACGGGUGAGUAACACGUUGAUAACCUACCUAUAAGACUGGGAUAACUUCGGGAAACCGGAGCUAAUACCGGAUAAUAUUUUGAACCGCAUGGUUCAAAAGUGAAAGACGGUCUUGCUGUCACUUAUAGAUGGAUCCGCGCUGCAUUAGCUAGUUGGUAAGGUAACGGCUUACCAAGGCAACGAUGCAUAGCCGACCUGAGAGGGUGAUCGGCCACACUGGAACUGAGACACGGUCCAGACUCCUACGGGAGGCAGCAGUAGGGAAUCUUCCGCAAUGGGCGAAAGCCUGACGGAGAAACGCCGCGUGAGUGAUGAAGGUCUUCGGAUCGUAAAACUCUGUUAUUAGGGAAGAACAUAUGUGUAAGUAACUGUGCACAUCUUGACGGUACCUAAUCAGAAAGCCACGGCUAACUACGUG